rnacentral:rRNA from 1 species
AUUGAACGCUGGCGGCAUGCCUUACACAUGCAAGUCGAACGGCAGCAUGGGUGCUUGCACCUGAUGGCGAGUGGCGAACGGGUGAGUAAUGCAUCGGAACGUACCCGGAAGUGGGGGAUAACGUAGCGAAAGUUACGCUAAUACCGCAUAUUCUGUGAGCAGGAAAGCGGGGGAUCGCAAGACCUCGCGCUUCCGGAGCGGCCGAUGUCGGAUUAGCUAGUUGGCGGGGUAAAGGCCCACCAAGGCAACGAUCCGUAGCGGGUCUGAGAGGACGAUCCGCCACACUGGGACUGAGACACGGCCCAGACUCCUACGGGAGGCAGCAGUGGGGGAAUUUUGGACAAUGGGCGCAAGCCUGAUCCAGCCAUGCCGCGUGAGUGAAGAAGGCCCUAGGGUUGUAAAGCUCUUUUGUCGGGGACGAUAAUGACGGUACCCGAAGAAUAAGCUCCGGCUAACUUCGUGCCAGCAGCCGCGGUAAU